AGUAAUGCUUGGGAAUCUAGCUUAUGGAGGGGGGUAACUAUGGGAAACUGUAGCUAAUACCGCGUAGAAUCGGGAGAUGAAAGUGUGGGACCUUCGGGCCACAUGCCAUAGGAUGAGCCCAAGUGGGAUUAGGUAGUUGGUGAGGUAAAGGCUCACCAAGCCGACGAUCUCUAGCUGGUCUGAGAGGAUGACCAGCCACACUGGGACUGAGACACGGCCCAG
rnacentral:rRNA from 1 species